CAAAAGUUUGGUCCCGGCUUUAUUAUCAGGUAUUUCUCAACCUACACAUGCAAGUCUCAGCACACCAGUGAGGACGCCCUUAAUUUCUACUCCAGUUAGAGGAGCCGACAUCAGGCACAGAAUACUUGCCCACAACGUCUAGUCCAACCACACCCAUAAGGGUAUUCAGCAGUGACAAAAAUUGUCCAUAAGCGUCAGCUUGAAUCAGUUAAAGAAAAGAGAGCCGGCUAACCUGGUGCCAGCCGCCGCGGCUAUACCCUGGGGCUCAAAUUGAUAAUUAUCGGCGUUAAGCGUGAUUAAAGUUUCCAAUAAUUAGAGUUAAAUCCAUUCAUAGUCGUGAAAAACUAACUGCCCAGAAAACCAAAAACGAAAGUUACUCUAAUACCUUACUUGAACCCACGACAGCUAGGAUCACAAACUGGGAUCAGAUACCCCACUAUGCCUAACCGUAAAAAAUUAACUCACAUCCCAAAGCGCCAGGAUAUUACGAGCGCAAGCUUAAAAUCCAAAGGAUUUGACGGUGUCCCACCCACCUAGAGGAGCCUGUUCUAUAAUCGAUGAUCCUCGAUACACCCCACCACUUCUUGCUUUUUCAGCCUGUAUACCUCCGUCGCAAGCUUACCGUAUGAAUGUCACAAAGUUAGUCUAAAGACUCCCCCCGUCAAUACGUCAGGUCAAGGUGCAGCUUACGAAGUGGAAAGCAAUGGGCUACAAUUUCUAAAAUAGAACAAACGAAAUACUACAUGAAAAAUAGUCAUGAAGGCGGAUUUAGUAGUAAAAGAAGAGUAGCGUGCUUCUUUUAACAAGGCUCUGGGACGUGUACAAACCGCCCGUCACCCUCUUCAAUAGCACAUUUCCAGUUUCAUAACAUCACUACAGCGUCUUAGAAGAGGUAAGUCGUAACAUGGUAAGUGUACUGGAAAGUGCACUUGGUUAAA
rnacentral:ncRNA from 1 species